AAUGAACGCUGGCGGCAGGCUUAACACAUGCAAGUCGAGCGAGCGGCGGACGGGUGAGUAAUGUCUGGGAAACUGCCUGAUGGCGGGGGAUAACUACUGGAAACGGUAGCUAAUACGGCAUACCAGCAGAUUUGCCCAGAUUGGAUUCGCUAUUAGGUGGGGUAAUGGCUCACCAAGGCGACGAUCCCUAGCUGGUCUGAGAGGAUGAUCAGCCACACUGGAACUGAGACACGGUCCAGACUCCUACGGGAGGCAGCAGUGGGGAAUAUUGCACAAUGGGCGCAAGCCUGAUGCAGCCAUGCCGCGUGUGUGAAGAAGGCCUUCGGGUUGUAAAGCACUUUCAGCGAGGAGGCGUUACUCGCACAAGAAGCACCGGCUAACUCCGUGCCAGCAGCCGCGGUAAUAC
rnacentral:rRNA from 1 species